GUGCCAGCCGCCGCGGUAAUACGUAGGGUGCAAGCGUUAAUCGGAAUUACUGGGCGUAAAGCGUGCGCAGGCGGUUUUGUAAGUCUGUCGUGAAAGCCCCGGGCUUAACCUGGGAAUUGCGAUGGAGACUGCAAGGCUUGAAUCUGGCAGAGGGGGGUAGAAUUCCACGUGUAGCAGUGAAAUGCGUAGAGAUGUGGAGGAACACCGAUGGCGAAGGCAGCCCCCUGGGUCAAGAUUGACGCUCAUGCACGAAAGCGUGGGGAGCAAACAG
rnacentral:rRNA from 1 species